rnacentral:misc_RNA from 1 species
CAAUAGCACUCGAGCGCCACCGGCAGAAACCACGAUGUCAAGGAGAGUAUCCAAAAAUUGUUCGAAUUCUCUAGAUAAGCGAUUAGGAGAAAAAUAUACGCUAAUAAUUACAAAAUUGACAGUUUUUAUCGCCACGACAUUCGGAGCAGAGGCGAGCAGUUGCCAGUUAAAUAAAAAUCUAUUGUUAACAUAUAAAACCGCUAGGGAAGGGCUAUCUUGAGAGAUAUACCAGCGAUCAUCGUGACGGCGAAUAGAGUUUGGCUCCGAGAUGAUCGGGUUGAUUUCCGUCGUGUCCAUAGCAACCAACGUAUUGCCCUGAGAACCAGCGCUCCGAUUCUCAGAUCCUCUCAUGGGUGAGGAAGAGUUAUUCUAGUGAUCUGUCUCUCAGAUUGUUACAGUAUUGUUACAGGAAGCACGGCGUGCAGAACUCGCUACCCGCUCUGUGGUCAUAUGGAAGACCUCUCUUCCUGCAAACGGGACAACACGUAUGAUUUCUUUUCAGAGCAGUAUGCAGCGGGCAUUGCAGCCAGACUAUGCCGAAUCCAUUUCUCGCGAUCCUAAUUGGUCCAACUCUGACUCUCCGAGGAACAGUCACCAAGAGAGGAAAUUUGUCGACGGAUCUCCUCAGUUGUCACUCAAUCGUCAAAGCCGAUGAGUCUAAUGUCAGCGUAUCUAACUGGUCUAUUGAUUUUAACCUUCGAGUCGCCAAUAAUGUUCCUCAUUUUCUCAACUAGCAGAUCCGCUUUAUUAGAAGAAUCCGCCUCUCGCAGCUCGAGCAGGACUCUACCAGAGAGUGCCCGCUUAAUCCUGGUAUCCAUUACAUCUAAUUCUUGUGUGGAAAUUCCCUCUCUGGCCCUGCUGAGAACGGACGCGUAAGAUGGCCCGCCAUCCUCCACCACUAUCGAGAUAGCUGCUACAUUAGGAGAGGGUACUCUAGGCCUUCUGUCUGAAAUCCUUUGGCGCGGGAUACGCUGAGAUUCAAUGUUCCUAUUUCUAUUCUCAGCAGCGCGAUCACUCCUACCAGCAGCAUCACCAUCGGUUCUUCUGCAUUUAUUUCUCUUGACCACUUCUGUCCAGCUUUCCAUCUUUCUUCCCCCAGCUUCGGAGGACGAAGCAGGUGUUGUCUGCGAGGGAUAGCACUCGCCGCGAUCUCAAAGGUCUCAAAGGUCUCAAAGGUCUGGUUAUCCUUUUCUGUCAAGCCUCUUCAAUAGAAGUAAAUUCCCUCUCCUCUCGACAUACCAAGGUCAUCUGCCAAUAGGGACCUCAUUGUGUCGGUAAAACGAAUCAAAAGCUCAUUCACCGCUUCUCAUUUCCUUCUCCUAGAUGAUUCUACCUUAUCUGUAUUUCUCUUCUUAUUUAUAUCCUGAUAUUUUUAAAAAUUUCCAGUGCAUUGCGGGAAAUCCGACCGAAGCGCUUAUCGACAUCUUCAUUGCGCACUACUCCAUCAGCUCCGUCCGACCGAGGCCUGUCACCAUUGGGAGGCACAGGACGUUCAGAACGAUUUCCGUUCGAGGAAAAUUUCCUUUGAUUCAGCUCCUCCAUAAGAUUCUUGAUAGACUGUCUCAAUGAUCUGUUCUCUUCCUUCAAAUCAUUAAGUUCCCGUUUAAUUUCCUCGAGAUAUCUAUUUUGAAGGUCUUCCUUUCUUUUUGCAGCUUUCCUGGAGAUAAGAUUUUCCACAGCACAUUUCGCCGAUAAUAAAUUAAUUUUGAUGGCCUUGCUGACCUUGCAAAGAGCCGGAUUUCCUUCUGCAGUUCUCCAUCUCAUUCAGCCAUUCGAUGACUUGAGCACCUACAUCUUCGGAAUUGAGAUAUUUUAUCAUAUUAUAUCUGUCCUCUAUUUCCAUUUUCUGCCCUACCGUUAAACGCUCUCUCUCCUUAUUCUUAGGAGAAGAUCCUAACCUCCUCUUCUUAGACUUGACUUCAGAAAGGAUGUCUCGUUGCCCGUAUUCGUGUACGAGACAAAGCUGGCAUCUUAAUCUGAAUCGAUUAGACUAAUCGAGUCUAUCACUUGCUCUUCCAGGUCCCUACUACAGCCAGCGAUUUCCAUCUUAUCACUCUCUCUGCUUGAUGAAUAGAGUCUACUAGCACUGACAUCAUCGUCACGAACCUUUGCUAUAAGAGAAUCAGGGAAUCUCCGAGAGACAUCCUCUAACACGCGGGAGAUUCCUGCGGAAGAAGGAACACCACCACCGAUUGUUUCAUUACCUACCGGACCGGCCACCCGGUCACCUAUCUGCCCUACGCCAGUUAAGGCCUGCUGGGAGCAGGGACUCAACUCCCAGUGCCACGAUCCUCUCGACUUUCCACAUCGAGAGGGGUCCCGUUGCCCGAUGACGAUCGCACAGAGAGCGGGUUCUCUCCACGAGGCCGCCCCGCCAUCCGAGAAGCAGCAGGGGGUGAUCUUUCCAUUUUUCUACUCAUAUUUAUAUUUUAUAAUUGAUUUUUUUGCAGAAGUAAUCCUCUCCUGUCCAGCCAUUGUUGCGUCGGAAUGGGAAGUUCCAACGCAGUCGUCAACGAUGAAAAACAGUCCAACGAAAAGAAGAAAUCAAGAAGAAUAGUCCUAAAUAAUCAGGAAUAAAAAGAAAAAUCAAGCUUCAGACUCAUCUUAAUCCUAAAUUGAAAUGGAAAGGAAACUGAGCCGGCUCGACGUGGUGACGGGAAUCACAUCCCUCGAUGCACGGCUAUUCGCCGACUCCGGAUAUCUCAGCUCCUCAUUACCUAUCCAUACUAACAAACACCUACCAUCCUCUAGACUGUUCUACUGUAAUACAGCCUGCCUGGUGGCAAAAACAUCACCAAAAACAUCAUCUUUCAGCAGACAGAAGAGGCAGCCACAGUUCAAAUACGGCUACGGCUACGGACCGAGUAACAGACAACAGAUACUCCUCCAGCACGUUCAAAGUACGAGAGACCUGAAUCAGCUAAUAUAAUAGAUAAUAGAGCUAGAUAAUAGAGAUAAAAAGAAAAUUAACAAGAGCAGACUAAAAGAUUACGAUUAACCUAAAAAUUAAAUAACAUUAGAAAACAACGAAGAAAAAACUAAAUAAAUAACAAUUAAAAAGGCUUGUAACAAAUAAUUCAUAAAGCUAAGAGCGAUCAAUAAAUCAACAACACUGCAAUGAGUUGAGAAAAUUUAAUAAAAGAACAACAAGAUAAGUAAUUCAUUAAAUAGAUAAAUAAAAAGAAAUAUUAACAAUAAAUAUUAACAAUAAAUAGUAAUAACUACAAUCUCCUAAACUUCUUAGAGCCAACCCAUAUAUAUAUAUAUAUAUAUAAACAAUGAAUAACUCAUAAAGGAUCGAUAAACAACUAACUGACUAGAUAAAUAAAUAAAAAAA